AAAAUGACUCUCGGCAACGGAUAUCUCGGCCCUCACUUCGAUGAAGAACGCAGCGAAAUGCGAUACUUGGUGUGAAUUGCAGAAUCCCGUGAACCAUUGAUUCUUUGAACGCAAUUUGCGUCCCAAGCCUUUAGGCCGAGGGCACGCCUGCCCGGGUGUCACAC
rnacentral:rRNA from 1 species